UUACACAAAAAAGUAGAGAGUGGCGGAUACAAAAUAUUGGAGUUACCUACGUUACUACUAUCUAAACUAAUAUGAUUAUUAGAGAAAGCUGAGAUAGUCCUUUUCCUUUGCUUACAUGUUCGAUCAUCUGCAAGGGUGGUGUUGACAAAAUUAGGUGGCACGUCUAACACAGCAAUCUCUUCCAAAAAGUUAGGUGAAGAUGCUUCUUUAGCUUAACUGUCUGCUACUCCGUUGUUUUCCCUGUAAGGGUGUGCCUUAGCUUAGGAUUAUUCAGUUGGUG
rnacentral:lncRNA from 1 species